ensembl:lncRNA
CUCUGGUGGCUGGGGAGAGGAGGAGGGAGAGGAGGAUCUCUGGUGGCUGGGGAAAGGAGGAGGGAGAGGAGGAACUCUGGUUGCUGGGGAGAGGAGGAGGGAGAGGAGGAACUCUGGUGGCUGGGGAGAGGAGGAGGGAGAGGAGGAACUCUGGUGGCUGGGGAGAAGAGGAGGAGGAGGAUCUCUGGUUGCUGGGGAGAGGAGGAAGAGGAGGAGGAGGAACUUUGGUGGCUGGGGAGAGGAGGAGGGAGAGGAGGAACUCUGGUGGCUGGGGAGAAGAGGAGGAGGAGGAACUCUGGUGGCUGGGGAGAGGAGGAGGAGGAGGAACUCUGGUGGUUGGGGAGAAGAGGAGGAGGAGGAACUCUGGUGGCUGGGAAGAGGAGGAGGAGGAACUCUGGUGGUUGGGGAGAAGAAGAAAUAGAAAGAGUUUGGGGAAUGGAGGAAAGGAGAGAAAGAGGCAGAGGAGAUACUGGGACACGGCAUGCAGAAGGACACAAAGAAUCACAUCUGUCUCCACACUGUCCUCCUUCCCUCUGUGGGAGACCGAGGAGAGAGGGGGGGACAGGAAUGUGGUAAACAACUCUACUUUGUUGAUGUUUACCGGAUGUUUCUGUCACGAGUGUCAGACUGACAAGAACCACACCAAGGAGUCUGAGACGAAAGACCUGGUGGCCUUCACCAACCGACCUGAGACAGCCUGUUAGAGGUCUGUGCUGUAUCAGAAGUCUGGGCCCAUAUUCAUAAAGACUCUCAGUAGGAGUGGUCAUCUGGGAUCAGGUCCUAAAGAGUCCCAGUAGGAGUGGUGAUCUAGGAUCAGGUCCUAAAGAGUCUCAGUAGGAGUGGUCAUCUGGGAUCAGGUCCUAAAGAGUCUCAGUAGGAGUGGUCAUCUGGGAUCAGGUCAUAGUCUCAGUAGGAGUGGUGAUCUAGGAUCAGGUCAUAUAGAGUCUGAGAGUGUUGAUCUGGGAUCAGGUCCUAAAGAGUCCCAGUAGGAGUGUUGAUCUAGGAUCAGGUCAUAAAGAGAUUCAGUAGGAGUAUUGAUCUAGGAUCAGGUCAUAAAGAGUGAGAGUAGGAGUGGUGAUCAUAAUGAAUAACAUUACAUGGACCUGGGGGACCUGAUCCUAGAUCAUAAUGACCUGGGAGACCUGAUCCUAGAUCAUAAUGACCUGGGGGACCUGAUCCUAGAUCAGCUCUCCUACUGUGAAUACCAGAACCAGGUCUUACCUGUCAGAGGUCAGAGGUCUUCAUCCUCUCGGAUGUUGUGGUUUCUUCCUACUGUAGCUUUUCCCAACUUCAACUGUUUCAAUAAAUGCCGGACAACAAAAUGUAAAAUGUGUUUCACUGAAUAGCAGUUUUUUUUUAAGUGUCAUGCAAAGCAUUUUCAGGAAAGUUAUUUGUUGUUUUGCAUGGUCAAGCCCAAAUUAUGUUUUCGUUUCUGUCUUUGGGAUGUCAUGUAAAUAUUAUAAAACUAAAAUCUGCUUGGAUUUUGCGUAAAGUUAAAGUAUAUGUUGUUUGAUAAAUAAAUAAUGUUGGUAUAAUGA